UAUGAAUGGCUCCUGAGUUUUUUGGUUUUUAUUUUAUUUUUCCCUCCUCCCGAGUCUGCUAGAAACCAGAAACACCUGGUGAACAGAAUGUGAUUCUCUCCAUGAAGCCGAGAAGAAAUUCCCAUUCAUUCUCAGAACUGAUCAAAUGCCUCUGUGGCGUGGGACCAGGAGCCUCCGGCUGGAUACAGGAUGCCUGGCCCAGAUGUGAGCCCAUCUUCCGAGCUGCCUCAGAAGCUAUAAUUACAGUGGCAGCCAACCUGGCCCCUGGAGUCUGAUGAUCUUGGUCUGGCCUGCCAGAUCCUGCUGCUCUCUGACCUUGGCGAUAACUUACCUCACCCUAGAGUGCUUCUUCAUCUGGAAAAUGGGAAUUCCAGGGAUUAAAGGAAAUGAAUGUGUAAUACGUCUAGCCCAGGGCCUGGAGUGUACAUUGUAAUAAUAAUUAUGGCUGUUACUAAUUA